GGGGGGACGGGGGGACCAUCCUAAAUACUCCUGACUGACCGAUAGUGAACCAGUACCGUGAGGGAAAGGCGAAAAGAACCCCGGCGAGGGGAGUGAAACAGAACCUGAAACCGUGUACGUACAAGCAGUGGGAGCCUUCGUAAGAGGGUGACUGCGUACCUUUUGUAUAAUGGGUCAGCGACUUAUAUUCUGUAGCAAGGUUAACCGUAUAGGGGAGCCGAAGGGAAACCGAGUCUUAACCGGGCGUUAAGUUGCAGGGUAUAGACCCGAAACCCGGUGAUCUAGCCAUGGGCAGGUUGAAGGUUGGGUAACACUAACUGGAGGACCGAACCGACUAAUGUUGAAAAAUUAGCGGAUGACCUGUGGCUGGGGGUGAAAGGCCAAUCAAACCGGGAGAUAGCUGGUUCUCCCCGAAAGCUAUUUAGGUAGCGCCUCGUGAACUCAUCUCCGGGGGUAGAGCACUGUUUCGGCUAGGGGGCCAUCCCGGCUUACCAACCCGAUGCAAACUGCGAAUACCGGAGAAUGUUAUCACGGGAGACACACGGCGGGUGCUAACGUCCGUCGUGAAGAGGGAAACAACCCAGACCGCCAGCUAAGGUCC
rnacentral:rRNA from 1 species